rnacentral:rRNA from 1 species
UAUAAUUUUAUUUAUGUUAUUAUUAUUAAAAAUAAUUAUAAAUUUAAAUGUUUUAGUAUAUUAUAUAAAAAAAAUAAAAUUAUUAAUAGUCUAUUAGUAUUGUAAAAUAAUAUUGAAAUAUAAUGAAAAAUUUUUAUUUUAAAAGAAAAUUUUAUUUAUUGUAUCUUGUGUAUCAGAGUAUAUUAAAUAAAAAAUAAUUAUUUUAUUUUUCUCGAUUUUAAAAGAUUUAAUAAAUUAUAAAAAUUAAUGUAAUAAAAUUAUUUUUAAUAAUUUAUUAGAAAUGAAAUGUUAUUCGUUUUUAAAGGUAUCUAGUUUUUUAAGAAAUAAAUUAAAUUUAAAUUUUUAAAAUUUAUUUAUUUAUUUUUUUUAAUUAAAUAAUUUUUAAAAAUUAAUAUUUUAUGGGAUAAGCUAUAAAAUAAAUUUUUAUAAAUAAUAAAUAUAAUUUAAAUGUUAUAUGUUUAGAAUUAUCAAUUAUUAUUAAAUUUGUUAUAAAUUAAUUUUUAUAAUAAAUUAUUUAUUAUAUUUUAAAUUUUUAUUAAAAUAUUUUUUUUAACAAUAAAAAUAAAAUAAUAAUGAUAUAAUUAGUAUAUUAUAAUUUAACUAAUUUUUUUAAAAUGAAAAGUUUAUUUAAAGAAUUCGGCAAAAAUAAUAUUCGCCUGUUUAACAAAAACAUGUCUUUUAGAAUUUAAUUUAAAGUCUAACCUGCCCAAUGAUUUUUUUUAAUGGCCGCAGUAUUUUAACUGUGCAAAGGUAGCAUAAUCAUUAGUCUUUUAAUUGAAGGCUGGAAUGAAUGGUUGGACGAAAUAUUAACUGUUUCAUUUGAAAUUAUAAUAAAAUUUUAUUUUUUAAUUAAAAAGUUAAAAUUUAAUUAAAAGACGAGAAGACCCUAUAAAUCUUUAUAUAUUUAUUAAUUUUAAUUUUAAAGAUUUUUUUAAUUAUAAUAAAUAAAUAUAUUUUAUUGGGGUGAUAUUAAAAUUUAAUUAACUUUUAAAUAUUUAAAUCAUUAAUUUAUGAAUAAUUGAUCCAAUUAUAUUGAUUAAAAAUUUAAGUUACUUUAGGGAUAACAGCGUAAUUUUUUUGGAGAGUUCAUAUUGAUAAAAAAGAUUGCGACCUCGAUGUUGGAUUAAGAUAUAAUUUUAGGUGUAGCCGUUUAAAUUUAAAGUCUGUUCGACUUUUAAAAUCUUACAUGAUCUGAGUUCAAACCGGUGUAAGCCAGGUUGGUUUCUAUCUUUAAUAAAUUAAAAUAUUUUAGUACGAAAGGAUUAAAUAUUAAAUUAAUUAUAAUUUAAAAAUAAGAAUAUUACUAAUAAUUUA